GACGAACGCUGGCGGCGCGCCUAACACAUGCAAGUCGAACGAGAGAGAGGGAGCUUGCUUCCUCGAUCGAGUGGCGAACGGGUGAGUAACGCGUGAGGAACCUGCCUCAAAGAGGGGGACAACAGUUGGAAACGACUGCUAAUACCGCAUAAGCCCACGGCUCGGCAUCGAGCAGAGGGAAAAGGAGCAAUCCGCUUUGAGAUGGCCUCGCGUCCGAUUAGCUAGUUGGUGAGGUAACGGCCCACCAAGGCGACGAUCGGUAGCCGGACUGAGAGGUUGAACGGCCACAUUGGGACUGAGACACGGCCCAGACUCCUACGGGAGGCAGCAGUGGGGAAUAUUGCACAAUGGGGGAAACCCUGAUGCAGCGACGCCGCGUGGAGGAAGAAGGUCUUCGGAUUGUAAACUCCUGUUGUUGAGGAAGAUAAUGACG
rnacentral:rRNA from 1 species